rnacentral:rRNA from 1 species
GAUUAACGCUGGCGGCAUGCCUAAUACAUGCAAGUCGAACGGAAGCAGCAAUGCUUUAGUGGCGAACGGGUGAGUAACACGUAGGGAACCUACCUAUACGACGAGGAUAACUACUGGAAACGGUAGCUAAAAACUGGAUAGGAUCAAUUGAGGCAUCUUGAUUGAUUUAAAGAUCCUUCGGGAUUACGUAGAGAUGGCCCUGCGGCGCAUUAGCUAGUUGGUGAGGUAACGGCCCACCAAGGCGACGAUGCGUGGCUGAGCUGAGAGGCUAAACAGCCACACUGGGACUGAGACACGGCCCAGACUCCUACGGGAGGCAGCAGUAGGGAAUUUUCGGCAAUGGGGGAAACCCUGACCGAGCAAUGCCGCGUGAACGAUGAAGGUCUUCGGAUUGUAAAGUUCUGUGAUUGGGGAAGAAUGGUAUUCUUAGGGAAUGAGGAGUACAUGACGGUACCCGAUUAGAAAGCCCCGGCUAACUAUGUGCCAGCAGCCGCGGUAAUUA